AUUGAACGCUGGCGGCAGGCCUAACACAUGCAAGUCGAGCGAGCGGCGGACGGGUGAGUAAUGUCUGGGAAACUGCCUGAUGGAGGGGGAUAACUACUGGAAACGGUAGCUAAUACCGCAUACAUUCAGUUGGCCCCAAAUGGGAUUGGCUAGUAGGUGGGGUACCGGCUCACCUAGGCGACGAUCCCUAGCUGGUCUGAGAGGAUGACCAGCCACACUGGAACUUAGACAAGGUCCAGACUCCUACGGGAGGCAGCAGUGGGGAAUAUUGCACAAUGGGCGCAAGCCUGAUGCAGCCAUGCCGCGUGUGUGAAGAAGGCCUUCGGGUUGUAAAGCACUUUCAGCGGGGAGGCGUUACCCGCAGAAGAAGCACCGGCUAACUCCGUGCCAGCCGCCGCGGUAAUAC
rnacentral:rRNA from 1 species